rnacentral:lncRNA from 1 species
AUGUAUUUAUUCAAAUAAGUUCUUACACAAGCACGUACAUAUAAAAACAUUUACUUACACAAGCACGUAUUUAUAAAAACCUUUACUUACCCAAACACGUACUUACACAAACACGUACUUACACAAACACAAACUUUCACAAACACAUACUUUCACAAACACAUACUUACACAAACACGAAUUGAGAAGUGUUAUUUGUUGUCUAUUUUUGACUUAUAUUUUAAAAAAAAAAAAUACUUUACAAUGAAAUUUUUAUUAAAAUUGUCUUUGUCUAUUGUUUUAAUGUUUGCUUAUGUAUUUUGUUCAAAACAAAAUGAUUUAAAUUUUUGCAAAAAAACACACAGAGGGGUGUUGCAAUAUCAUCAAAAAAAUGAUACCAAUGGGUAUAUUACUGUUGCUGUUGCAUUGAAAGAUGACACCCUGAGACUAUACCAAGGGACAAAAUUGUUUUCUAGUAUAAACCUAAAAGAUGUUAUAGCACCUUUAGAAAUUUUUUCUACAAGCCCCGAAUGUUUAACAGUCAACAUAAGUAAAUUACAAUGCAUUUAAAAAAAUAAAACCAAUAAAAUAAACA